GGCUCUUUUAAAGUCUUUCCUCAAUUCUCAUUACACGACAAUGAGCAAAGAGGGGCAGCUGUAAUAGCCUAUUUUGCUCGGAGCCCAAUAAAACCCAAAACAACCCAAAAUAAUAGAACGUCCACAGUCCAUUUCUACAAAAAAAAAUCCACUACCCUAAUUAAGCCCAAUCAAACCCAAAUGACCCAAUGAUAGAAACCCUAGCCCAACAAACUCAAAAUUUUCAGAAAACCCUAGUCUCAUGCUUUGCAGCUGCCGCCGCUUCACCUCCCCUCACGCAUGCACGCCUCUGACCACCCGUCGCUCGCAUGCCCACUGUCACCAGCGUUUGUCUAUCACCGAC
rnacentral:lncRNA from 1 species